rnacentral:rRNA from 1 species
GGGACACGUGGUAUCCUGUCUGAAUAUGGGGGGACCAUCCUCCAAGGCUAAAUACUCCUGACUGACCGAUAGUGAACCAGUACCGUGAGGGAAAGGCGAAAAGAACCCCGGCGAGGGGAGUGAAAAAGAACCUGAAACCGUGUACGUACAAGCAGUGGGAGCCUCUUAAUGGGGUGACUGCGUACCUUUUGUAUAAUGGGUCAGCGACUUAUAUUCUGUAGCAAGGUUAACCGAAUAGGGGAGCCGAAGGGAAACCGAGUCUUAACUGGGCGUUAAGUUGCAGGGUAUAGACCCGAAACCCGGUGAUCUAGCCAUGGGCAGGUUGAAGGUUGGGUAACACUAACUGGAGGACCGAACCGACUAAUGUUGAAAAAUUAGCGGAUGACUUGUGGCUGGGGGUGAAAGGCCAAUCAAACCGGGAGAUAGCUGGUUCUCCCCGAAAGCUAUUUAGGUAGCGCCUCGUGAAUUCAUCUCCGGGGGUAGAGCACUGUUUCGGCAAGGGGGUCAUCCCGACUUACCAACCCGAUGCAAACUGCGAAUACCGGAGAAUGUUAUCACGGGAGACACACGGCGGGUGCUAACGU